UGGGGAAUAUUGCACAAUGGGGGAAACCCUGAUGCAGCAACGCCGCGUGAGUGAUGAAGGCCUUCGGGUUGUAAAGCUCUGUCUUUGGGGACGAUAAUGACGGUACCCAAGGAGGAAGCCACGGCUAACUACGUGCCAGCAGCCGCGGUAAUACGUAGGUGGCAAGCGUUGUCCGGAUUUACUGGGCGUAAAGGGAGCGUAGGUGGAUAUUUAAGUGGGAUGUGAAAUCCCCGGGCUUAACCUGGGGGCUGCAUUCCAAACUGGAUGUCUAGAGUGCAGGAGAGGAGAGUGGAAUUCCUAGUGUAGCGGUGAAAUGCGUAGAGAUUAGGAAGAACACCAGUGGCGAAGGCGACUCUCUGGACUGUAACUGACACUGAGGCUCGAAAGCGUGGGGAGCAAACAGGAUUAGAUACCCUGGUAGUCCACGCCGUAAACGAUGGGUACUAGGUGUAGGGGUUUCGAUACCUCUGUGCCGCCGUUAACACAAUAAGUACCCCGCCUGGGGAGUACGGUCGCAAGAUUA
rnacentral:rRNA from 1 species